rnacentral:rRNA from 1 species
CAAUAGCGUAUAUUAAAGUUGUUGCAGUUAAAAAGCUCGUAGUUGGAUUUCUGGUUGAAGCGACCGGUCGGGCGUUGAUUCGUCUGCACUGGAGUCGGUUGUGGCCAUCCUCUAGGAAAGUGCGUCUGGUAUUAAGUUAUCGGGCGUAUGAUCCUGGUCUUUUACUGUGAAAAAAUUAGAGUGUUUAAAGCAGGCCUUCGCCUUGAAUACAUUAGCAUGGAAUAAUAAGAUAGGACUUUGGUCUAUUUUGUUGGUUUGCAGACCGAAGUAAUGAUUAAUAGGGAUAGUUGGGGGUAUUUAUAUUCCGAUGUCAGAGGUGAAAUUCUUAGAUUUUCGGAAGAUAAACUUAUGCGAAAGCAUUUACCAAGGAUGUUUUCAUUAA